rnacentral:rRNA from 1 species
UAGGGAAUCUUCGGCAAUGGGGGGAACCCUGACCGAGCAACGCCGCGUGAGUGAAGAAGGUUUUCGGGUCGUAAAGCUCUUUUAUGAGGGAAGAUAAUGACGGUACCUCAAGAAAAAGCCCCGGCUAACUACGUGCCAGCAGCCGCGGUAAUACGUAGGGGGCUAGCGUUAUCCGGAUUUACUGGGCGUAAAGGGUGCGUAGGUGGUCUUUCAAGUCGGUGGUUAAAGGCUACGGCUCAACCGUAGUUAGCCUCCGAAACUGGAAGACUUGAGUGCAGGAGAGGAAAGUGGAAUUCCCAGUGUAGCGGUGAAAUGCGUAGAUAUUGGGAGGAACACCAGUAGCGAAGGCGGCUUUCUGGACUGCAACUGACACUGAGGCACGAAAGCGUGGGUAGCAAACAGG